rnacentral:rRNA from 1 species
GACGAACGCUGGCGGCAGGCUUACACAUGCAAGUCGCACGAGAACGUUCUGGCUUUGCCAGAACAAGUACAGUGGCGAACGGGUGCGUAACGCGUAGAUAACCUGCCUUCAGGCGCGGGACAACCUCGGGAAACCGUGGCUAAUACCGCACGACGUCUGGCUCCUGCAUAGGAGCCAGACGAAAGCCUUCCGGUGCCUGAACAUGGGUCUGCUUCGGAUUAUCUCGUCGGUGGGGCCACCGGCUCUACCCAGUCAUGAUCCGUCUCAGGUAGAGAAUCGACCACACUGCAACUUGGACACGACCCCCACUCCUACGCCACACAGCGCUGGCCAAUCGCGCACUCUGGCGCCACCCCUUCCCCCCCCAUGCCACCUGGACGCACACACCCCUGUGUCGCGCACACUCCUUUUCUGCACCCAAAAACCCCUCUUGCUCCUGCCGUGACGGUCCCACAUGAAUACGCACCGGCUCACUCCGUGGCCAGCACCCGCUGUAAUACGGACGCUCCGCGCUUUCUCCCAAAUCACUGGCCGCACACGGUCGUCAAGUGAGCCACCUAGUCCCACCCCUAAACCCGUCCCUUAACCACGGACGUGCCUUUGAAACUGCUGCUCUUGAGUCCCGGAGAGGUUGCCGGAAUUCGUGGUGUAGCGGUGAAAUGCGUAGAUAUCACGAGGAACACCAGAUGCGAAAGCGGGCAACUGGACGGGUACUGACACUGAGGCACGAAAGCGUGGGGAGCAAACAGGAUUAGAUACCCUGGUAGUCCGCGCCGUAAACGAUGGAUGCUCGCCGUUGUCUCGUUAGGGGACAGUGGCUAAGUUAACGCGUUAAGCAUCCCGCCUGGGGAGUACGAUCGCAAGGUUGAAACUCAAAGGAAUUGACGGGGGCCCGCACAAGCGGUGGAGCAUGUGGCUUAAUUCGAUGCAACGCGAAGAACCUUACCUAGGCUCGAACGCUAGGUGCCCGCCCCUGAAAAGGGGCUUUCCGCAAGGACGCCUAGCGAGGUACUGCAUGGCUGUCGUCAGCUCGUGUCGUGAGAUGUUGGGUUAAGUCCCGCAACGAGCGUAACCCUUGUCGCUAGUUACCAUCGGGUAAUGCCGGGGACUCUAGUGAGACUGCCUGCGCAAGCAGUGAGGAAGGUGGGGAUGACGUCAAGUCAUCAUGGUCCUUACGCCUAGGGCUGCACACGUGCUACAAUGGCCGGUACAACGGGUAGCCACCCCGCGAGGGGAAGCGGAUCCCUGAAAGCCGGUCCCAGUUCGGAUUGGAGUCUGCAACUCGACUCCAUGAAGCAGGAAUCGCUAGUAAUCGCGGAUCAGCAAUGCCGCGGUGAAUUCGUUCCCGGGCCUUGUACACACCGCCCGUCAAGCCAUGGAAGCUGAGAGCACCCGAAGUCCGUGACCCAACCUUUUGGGAGGGAGCGGCCGAAGGUGAGCUCAGUGACUGGGGCU